AGCGAACGCUGGCGGCAGGCCUAACACAUGCAAGUCGAACGAACUUUUCGGGUUUAGUGGCGGACGUGUGAGUAAGACGUGGGAACGUUCCUUUAGGAUCGGAAUAACUCAGGGAAACUUGUGAUAGCACCGAAUGUGCCCUUCGGGGGCAAGAUUUAUAGCCUUUAGAGCGGCACGCGUCUGAUUAGCUCGUUGGUUGAGUUAAUGGCUCACAAAGGCGUCGAUCGGUAGCUGGUCUGAGAGGAUGAUCAGCCACAUUGGGCGUGAGACACGGCCCACACUCCGACGGGAGGAGGCAGUGGGGAAUGUUACGGGAUGGACGAAAGCCUGACGGAGCCAGGCCGCGUGAAUGAGGAAGGUGUUAGGAAAGUAAAAUUCUUUGACCGAGGACGAUAAUGACGGUACCCGAAGAAGAAGCCCCGGCUAACUCCGUG
rnacentral:rRNA from 1 species